CCCUGACAGUCGCAUGGUGCGGCUGACACUUGCCACGACAGGAGAUUCUCAUG
rnacentral:sRNA from 12 species